rnacentral:lncRNA from 1 species
AAAAUUUCAAAGGAAUUAUGUAAGAAACAUAAAGUAUUCUUAAAGAACCUUUAAAGAAAUCAUAAAAAAAUAAUAUAGAAUUCAAAAGUAUACUAAAAUAGAAAUCUUAAUAAAAUAUUAAAAUAGAAACCUUAAUUAAAUCUUAAAUAAAUUCUAAUAAAAUCUUAAAAAAUCUUAAUUAAAUUUUAAUCAAAUCCUAAAGAAACGUUAAUCAAAUUCUUAUCAAAUCCUAAAAAAAUCCUAAACAAAUCCUAAUCAAAUCCUAAAUAAAUCCUAGUUAAAUCCUAAAUAAAUCCUAUCAAACUCUAACAAAUCUUAAUCAAAUCUUGAGCAAAUCCUAAUCAAAUCUUGAACAAAUUCUAAACAAAUCUUCACCAAAUUCUAAUCAAAUCUUAAACAAAUCUUAACCAAAUCCUAAUCAAAUUCUAAAUAAAUCUUAAUGAAAUCCUAAUCAAAUCCUAAAAUAAUCCUAAAAAAAUCCUAAUUAAAUCCUAAACAAAUCCUAGUCAAAUCCUAAACUAACCUUAACCAAAACCUAAUCAAAUCUUAAACUAACUUUAACCAAAUCCUAAUCAAAUCUUUAUCAAACUUUAAACAAAUCUUAACCAAACCCUGGUCAAAUCCUAAAAAAACCUUAACCAAAUCCUAGUCAAAUCCUAAA